UUACGGGAGGCAGCAGUGGGGAAUUUUGGACAAUGGGCGCAAGCCUGAUCCAGCAAUGCCGCGUGCAGGAUGAAGGCCUUCGGGUUGUAAACUGCUUUUGUACGGAACGAAACGACUCUUCUUAAUACGAGGGGUUAAUGACGGUACCGUAAGAAUAAGCACCGGCUAACUACGUGCCAGCAGCCGCGGUAAUACGUAGGGUGCGAGCGUUAAUCGGAAUUACUGGGCGUAAAGCGUGCGCAGGCGGUGAUGUAAGACAGAUGUGAAAUCCCCGGGCUCAACCUGGGACCUGCAUUUGUGACUGCAUCGCUAGAGUACGGUAGAGGGGGAUGGAAUUCCGCGUGUAGCAGUGAAAUGCGUAGAUAUGCGGAGGAACACCGAUGGCGAAGGCAAUCCCCUGGACCUGUACUGACGCUCAUGCACGAAAGCGUGGGGAGCAAACAGGAUUAGAUACCCCGGU
rnacentral:rRNA from 1 species